rnacentral:rRNA from 1 species
GACGAACCGUGCGAACGUUGUUCGGAAUCACUGGGUUUAAAGGGCGCGUAGGCGGGCUGUCAAGUCGGUGGUGAAAUCUUUCGGCUCAACCGGAAAAUCGCCUUCGAUACUGGCGGCCUUGAGGGAGGUAGGGGCAUGCGGAACUUCCGGUGGAGCGGUGAAAUGCGUAGAUAUCGGAAGGAACACCGAUGGCGAAAGCAGCGUGCUGGACCUUUUCCGACGCUGAGGCGCGAAAGCCAGGGGAGCAAACGGG